UUCACAGCAAUCUAAUACUCCCGGCCUAAAUUUGACUAAUAUCUGCUCGUGACUUUCACAGCAAGAUAUACCAAAUCAAGUACAUAGCAUGGCAUACACCUAUGUCCAAAAGGAUAAUGGAUCCCUCUUGAAGGUUUCAAUGCUGAACCUUUUCAGUACCUCUUCUAUGUACUUAUUUGUGAAAAUCAAAUAUCCUUUU
rnacentral:lncRNA from 1 species